AUGAGAGUGAUCUAGCUGUGACAUCUGUCACCCCAUUGAUCCCCCCCAAGAUUGAUUGGGCCGAUUUGGCUGGAUAAGCAGUGUCCCCUUCCUUCCUUACCACUAUGUGUACAUCCCUCCAGAAGCUGCACGCUCAAUCAAGAAAAUGAUGGCCCCCAAUAGAGAAGGACCACUCUGCUGCUAG
rnacentral:snRNA from 1 species